UUGGGCUUUCUUAAAUAAAACAUUUGCCAAGAUAAAUGCAGCCUUUGGCCCAAGUCCCUUUUGAACAAAGCAGAGACUGGAGCAUAUCACUUAUCCUAGCCAUUGAGGGCUCAGCCCCAGUUUAUUUGAAUCACCUGCAUUUUCUGCCCAACAACCUCAGGGUGGGAGGACCUCUUCAGUGCACACCUCGAGAACUUGGAGAUUGCUGACACACUCACACGGUGCAUUGCCCGAACUCUGCACUUGACUUCGACAGAAAAGGCUCUGGCCUAGCCGUCCACAAAAGGCACCAAUGGCCUCGGGGUUGCGUGGGCUGCACCGCCGCCUGGUUUGCUGUGCCGUAGUCACAGCUAUACCAACCAAGAGCUUCACAGCUGUCCUUGGACUAGACUGGCCUAGACUCGCAGCGGACAUCUUUCUCCCAGGCUGGAUGCUUCCUGCCCUUGAACAUCAGACUCCAAGUUCUUCAGUUUGGUGACUCAGACUGGCUUCCUUGCUCCUCAGCCUGCAGACGGCCUAUGGUGGGACCUUGUGAUCACAAAAGUGCUGAGACCACCUGAAACCAGUUCACAAAAUACAAAUCUCCAGCGCAACACACGCCUGAGGCUGAAACCCACGCCUCGACCCAGGGGAGGCUGCGCAGCCCCCUGCUCGUGGACGCUGUGUGUCUUCGUGAACCAGGAGUUGGGCCCCAGGAACUUCCAAGAUUCCUUCUUGUCCAGUGAUAUUCGACUGCCAG
rnacentral:lncRNA from 10 species